UACGGGGGGGGCAAGCGUUGUUCGGAAUUACUGGGCGUAAAGGGCUCGUAGGCGGCCAACUAAGUCGGACGUGAAAUCCCUCGGCUUAACCGGGGAACUGCGUCCGAUACUGGAUGGCUUGAGUUUGGGAGAGGGAUGCGGAAUUCCCGGUGUAGAGGUGAAAUUCGUAGAUAUCGGGAGGAACACCGGUGGCGAAGGCGGCGAC
rnacentral:rRNA from 1 species